AUUGAACGCUGGCGGCAUGCCUUACACAUGCAAGUCGAACGGCAGCGCGGGGCAACUUGGCGGCGAGUGGCGAACGGGUGAGUAAUAUAUCGGAACGUGCCCUGGAGUGGGGAUAACGUAGCGAAAGUUACGCUAAUACCGCAUACGAUCUCAGGAUGAAAGCAGGGGACCUUCGGGCCUUGUGCUCCUGGAGCGGCCGAUAUCUGAUUAGCUAGUUGGUGGGGUAAAAGCCUACCAAGGCGACGAUCAGUAGCUGGUCUGAGAGGACGACCAGCCACACUGGAACUGAGACACGGUCCAGACUCCUACGGGAGGCAGCAGUGGGGAAUUUUGGACAAUGGGGGGCAACCCUGAUCCAGCAAUGCCGCGUGUGUGAAGAAGGCC
rnacentral:rRNA from 1 species